AUGAGGCUCUGGCUCCAUGUACUGUUCCUUGCAGUGGCUUUGGAAGGUGCCCGGUCCCAGGUGCAGCUGGUGGAGUCCGGAGGGGAUGUGAAACAGCCCGGAGACUCUCUCCGCCUCUCCUGCAAAGCCUCCGGGUUCACCUUCAGCAGCUACGGGAUGAACUGGGUCCGGCAGGCUCCCGGGAAGGGGCUGGAGUGGGUCUCAUACAUUUACACUGACGGGAGCCAACAAUUUUACGCAGACUCAGUGAAAGGCCGAUUCACCAUCUCCAGAGACAACCCCAACAACCUGCUGUAUCUGCAGCUGACCGGCCUGAAGCCCGAGGACACCGCCCGGUAUCACUGCGUCAAGGGAGUGAGCGUGCUGCGGCUGUGCUCACCCCUCGCCCGCCCGCAAACAAACAGCUGA